GGACCCGACUGCUAUUUGGGUGAGAAUAAGCCAUGCAAGUCGAAUGGAAUACCAAAAUAUUCCAUGGCAAACUGCUCAAUAACACGUGAUCAACUUACCCUACGGAAAACAAUAACCUCUGGAAACGGAGGAUAAUGGUUUAUAGUUGAAAAGGCUUGGAAAAGUUUUUCAAUAAAAGGGAAUAAUAAAAAUGGUUAUUAUUUUGCCAUAGGAUAGGAUUGCGGUCGAUUAUGGCUGUUGGUGAGGUAAUGGCUCACCAAACCAAUAAUCGAUAGGGGCCGUGAGAGCGGGAGCCCCGAGAUGGGUACUGAGACAACGACCCAGGCCUUACGAGGUGCAGCAGGCGCGAAAACUCCGCAAUACACGAAAGUGUGACGGGGUUACCCAAAGUGCUUAAUAUUUAAGCUGUGGUAAGUGUGUAAUGUACCUUACUAGAAAGGAGAGGGCAAGGCUGGUGCCAGCCGCCGCGGUAAAACCAGCUCUUCAAGUGGUCGGGAUAUUUAUUGGGCUUAAAGUGUCCGUAGCUUGUAUAAUAAGUUCCUGGUAAAAUCUAAUAGCUUAACUAUUAGUAUGCUAGGAAUACUAUCAUACUAGAGGGCGGGAGAGGUUUGAGGUACUUCAGGGGUAGGGGUGAAAUCCUAUAAUCCUUGAAGGACCACCAGUGGCGAAGGCGUCAGACUGGAACGCACCUGACAGUGAGGGACGAAAGCCAGGGGAGCGAACCGGAUUAGAUACCCGGGUAGUCCUGGCCGUAAACGAUGCACACUAGGUGUUGGUAUGGCUAUGAGCCAUAUCAGUGCCGAAGGGAAACCAUUAAGUGUGCCGCCUGGGAAGUACGGUCGCAAGGCUAAAACUUAA
rnacentral:rRNA from 1 species